AAGAGGUGUAUGAACAACUAGAGCUGCUAACUUCAGUGACUAAAAAUAAAAUUUUUAGACCUCUUA
rnacentral:tRNA from 1 species